rnacentral:rRNA from 1 species
CCUCACUUGUGGGGGGAUUAGUGGCGAACGGGUGAGUAACACGUGAGUAACCUGCCCUUGACUCUGGGAUAAGCCUGGGAAACCGGGUCUAAUACUGGAUACGACCUUCUGGCGCAUGCCAUGUUGGUGGAAAGCUUUUGUGGUUUUGGAUGGACUCGCGGCCUAUCAGCUUGUUGGUGGGGUAAUGGCCUACCAAGGCGACGACGGGUAGCCGGCCUGAGAGGGUGACCGGCCACACUGGGACUGAGACACGGCCCAGACUCCUACGGGAGGCAGCAGUGGGGAAUAUUGCACAAUGGGCGCAAGCCUGAUGCAGCGACGCCGCGUGAGGGAUGAAGGCCUUCGGGUUGUAAACCUCUUUCAGUAGGGAAGAAGCCGGCCUUUGGGUUGGUGACGGUACCUGCA